AGUGUUCUGGAUAGCCGAGGGGUUCGGGCGCGGGGCUGCGGAGCCGCAAGGCGCCUCUGUCGCCGAGUUCGAGGUUCGCCGAUGACAGGAUGCGGCCCGCGGACGCCUGGCUUGACAACAAACCUGUGCAACCGCCGCACAGCCCAAACUACGGGAGAGAUGAACCGCUGCUGCAGUUUCAUCACACUGUACCUUUCAUAGGAUCGAAGGGGGAGGGAAAGAACAAAGUGAGCUGGGAACCUCCCCCCCCCAAAAAAAACCCCCACAACAUUAGAUCACGCGUAAAAGUGUCCGACAGGCGACUUCCUGUGCAAAGCGAGUGAAUUGGCAAAAGCAGGAAAAGCUCCGGAUUUAGUUCUUCCCUUCAGGGCGACUCGCUCUAUUUCAGCAGAAGACACAGCAGAACGCGACGGGAAGUUCUCCAAGGGGUAUUGGGAUGGAUCCGUGCGGGAUUUGUUUUACGUCCUCAAAAGUGACUCUGGUGGGACUCGAACCCACAACCUUUGAAUCGCUGCGCCACGCUAGAAGUCCAAUGCGCUAUCCAUUGCGCCACAGAGCCGCGGGGCACGCUCUUCCCUCUGGCUCUUAAAAGGAGACUUACAGGUUAUUUUAAGGCAAUCCAGAACGUUUACAUGGGGAGGCAGAAAGCACUUGCUUUGCGUUUGGAAUUGCAGCCAAGCCUGGGGUGGCGAGUACUAGAAGAAAAAAAAAAAGAACCGACAUGACUAUUGGGGUUUUUAAAAUGGACUAAUAAGAGGAACAAAAUCUGUGCACCAGAAUUGGGGUUCGAGCCUAGGCAGGCUUAUGUGUCGACUGGAUCUCAAGUCCUACGCCUUAGCCAUGGUUUACAGAAUGGCCCAGUGGCUAACUUUUAUCACUCCUCAAAAUAAGGUGAAUAAGUUCAGUGUUCGAAAUACGGCUUACUAUGAAAGCGUCUUUAUUUAACAAAGUUCACCAGCUUUUAGCCAAUGCUGAAGUUCUGAUGCCUUAGUGAACCAGAAGCAGCAGCUAACCUAAGUCAGGCAGACAGAAGGGGGACUAUUUCCUGCACCUGUCGAUUUUUUAUUUAUUUUUGGAUGUGUGUGCGCGUGCGUGUGUGUUCACACCGCUCAAAUGUAUGGAUCCAUUUCUUCCUAUAAUACGCAGCUAACUGAAAGUUUCACUUUGAGCUCCCCCGCCCCCCAUGAAAACUUGGAAAGAGCUUUCCGGUGCUCCCUCGCGCGAAGCGGGGGGAACUUUCUCCGCCUCUUGCCGCGAGGAGACCUCCCUGAGUUUUCUCGCCGCUUUUGUUGCCUCCUGCCCUCCAGACCGUGGGAUCAGAUGCCGGGAGACUUGGAGGAGUUUCCGUCUUCCCGCCCGACCCGAGGCAGCAACAAAUGCAAGUGAAAGAAAAAAAGCCUUUCCUCCUAGGAAAAAGAAAUCCUUGCGCAUGUAUCCCCGGUAGCCGCUUUCCUGUGCUCGAGCCCGCCAGGGGGAGGCGAUCAUUCCCAGGUUCAGUCCCGGAAAUCUCUGGGUAAAAGGAUCAGAAAGAAAGCGGGGCGGAAGCCCUCUGGCCGUGACAAAGUAAAAAAGCAUCCCUGCCUGGACUCCAUGGCAGGCCUGGCCUGGACUCCAUGGCAGAACAAGAGAAAAGGAAGCCCAGGGGACCUUGACUCUGAGAUUCAACCAGGGCUAAGAAACCGGCCUUCCAGCUUCAGUCUGCGACCCAUCGGGGAGCCACGUGGGCUCACACGCCGCAAGAAGCCACUCCAGCAACACGCGGCAAGGAUUUUUACGCCACCUCUCCAAGUUUUAACUGAGAACGGGCUGCCUAGGAAGGGUUUCCUCGCCCUCUUUGCCAGGACACCGCAGACCCCACGGGUCUCUAACCGCAGGCAACUUAGAGGCGCCACUCGAGCCGCGGAACUGGUCCCUCUGCUUCGGCUGCAACGCACCACUUCCGGUGGGCGGACGACGACUGCGCGGAGGACUAGAAAGAAACACCUGUAGGGAUCCUGCCAGUCAGUUGCCCUCCGGCCUGGCGUUCUAUUUGUAGGGUUUUUCCUCAACCUGUGGGUCCCCAGAUGUUGUUGAACUACAACUCCCAUCACCCCUAGCUAGCAAGGCCAAAGCUCAGGGAUGAGUAGUGCUCCCCUCCCCUUUAAAAAUGUUUAGGGGUCCUCUCAUUUUGACUCAAGAAAAUCGCCAUUUCAGUAGUUCUAAUCGGGAAAAAUAAAUACAGUAAAUGGACAAAAGUACAAAGAUUCACAAAAUGUUUAGGGGAAUGCGCCCCCCCCAGGAAACAAGCACUGAAUAGAAGAUAAUAAAUACAAUCAAUAUGGGGAACAUUCGAACAUUGCUCUUCUGCAACUCUUUUAAGUGCAAAAGCAGAAGCAGCAGAUCCUGCGUCCUGAGCCCAGACGGCGUCCCCCAUCCCCAGAGUGUUGAAACGGGUUGCCUUCAGUCCUUUGCUCACCCCAUCGCUGCUAACAUAUCGGAAAAUGCCAGCUUCGUCCCAAAAAGGGAUGCUCCCUGCCCAGCGCUAGGUUCUCCGGCGCGUGAUUGAUACUGUGACCCUUCCAUCAUUUAAACUCCUUUGCUUUGCCCCUUUUAACUGUUCGUAGGAACCCCCAUUGCCAACCCCGGAGCAUUUCCAGCCCUGACUGCCGCGAAGCCGCGGACUUUUAGUGCAAUGCCCGCAGGGGGGGGUUGGAGAGCUAGGGAGUUUAAGGAUAUUCACGUUAAUCGGACAUUAGCGUAAACCACCAUAAUGCACAAAAUGUCUGGAAUCAGCUCACUCGGAAGAUAUAUAAUAGCACAACUUAAUGCAAAUUCCCCAGUGGGUAUUGGGAUCUUUGGCAAAUUUGUUUUCAUCCUCAAAAGAAACCUGUGACUCUGGUGGGACUCGAACCCACAACCUUUGAAUCACUUCACUACGCUAGAAGUCCAAUGCGCUAUCCAUUGCGCCACAGAGCCGCGCGUUAGGUUACCUCCUCUGCCUUAAAGGACACUUUUAUGUUACCUAAACAGUGGCCUCCAUAUGCCGGAAGUUUUCUUGGGGAAGUAUAAAGCAGUUGCUUUAGGUUGGAAAUUGCAGCUCCAUCCGGGGCGGAGAGCAAGAAGAAAAAGAGUUAAAAUGACUGGGGCGGGGAAGUUUAAAGCGGACUAGCAAACAAAAGCUCCCUCUCUUACCAGAAGUGGGGUUCGAACCCACGCAGACAUAUGUCUAUUGGAUCUUAAGUCCAACGCCUUAACCACUCGGCCAUUCUGGUAAUUAUGGUCAACUUUGACAACACCAUGAAAUAAGCUGAAUAACUUCAGCCUUUUGACGCGCGAUACAUCCGCCCCCCUGCUGGACGAAGAGCGUCUCCAUUCAACAAGCUGCAUCGAGUAGUAGCAGAAGUUCAAAACCCAUCUCCUAGCUACCCUGCCUGCCAGGAUUAGUGCGUACGACAGAGUACUACUGGAAGGGGCACGUUUCACACGAAUAAAUGUAAGAGAAUUCAUUUAGCACGGACGACUAUAGUUGGCUAACUAGUAAUAAAUCUUACACUUUCACCAGACAUCAGAAGGGGCUGUUUGGUGGGGGGGAAACUCAGAUAUGUUCUAUGGAAGCACGCCAUUAUUCUUGUUUGCUUUCAUACUGGAACAAUAGGAACAAAGUUUGAUCUUUACGUGUAGAUAGAUGCGUGCUCUCCGUCCCCACUCGAAACAUUAGUGCCAUUCUCAAACGAGGCCGCAAGGUGGCAGCACAACGAGCUGCGUCAAAGGCAGCGGCGCGCUGCGGGCGAUGCUUCCUGAACAGAACUUUAUCAGAAGCGAAGACAAAAAACAUUGGGAAGAGAGCAGGUAGGUUUUUCUUUCGCCCUCCACCUGAAUUAGACUGAAAUUCUAGACACACCUACCUAGGAGUAACUACCGCUGAACUCAGUGGGGCUUACUUCUCAAUAGACUUGCAUAGGAUUGCAGUAGUUUUCUUCCAGAAUCUUUUAAAACAUAACUGAUUGCAUUGUGCUUAAUCUACUUUCAGUUAUGUGCUUAUAUUUAUCAUGCUUGACUCCUUCCUUUCUUCCAAAGAGCAGAAGCCAGAUGAUACAGAAGUAACCUUUUGUCCUGGUUGCCUACCAUGCAGUCCUGGUUAAUUCAGAAGCAAGCCCCACUGAGUGCAGUGGGAUUUAUUCCUGGGUAAAUGUGCAUACAUAGCAUUGCAUCCUUGGUUAGCUUUGUUUGCAAGCAAGCAUUAUUCUAUGGGGAGAUUGCUAAGGUGCAGUGAAGGCACACCGGGAGAAAUCAUAAAUGAUUUCAAUCUCAUGCUCUUCAGCUUUCCUGUGCCUGAUUCCGACACUCCCACCUGUAUUAUCACAUAUCAGGGCCUGAGGUGGAAAACUCAAAAGGCACCUAAGUUUCAUUUGACAUAAAAGGAACCACUGUGGUGUAGUGGACUAGAGCCUGGGAGACCAGGGCUAUCCCCCCUCGGCCACAAAGCCUCCUGGGCAACCUAGCACCAGCCACUGCCUCCCAGCCUAACCUACCAUACAUGGUGGGAGGGUCUAGAGAUAAUCCAUAAAAAGCAGGUCUGUAGGCACUAGUCCACAAGUCUUGUCGCCCCCAUCACUAAUGUUCUGUGCUCAUUGCAAAUGUUAUUUGAGAUUCUGCAAAUGGCUCCUAGUCCAGGGUUAGUGUGCCUGUUUUUCUUGCAACAGAAAAGUUAGAUGGAAGAGGGUGGCUGAAAGGACGCCACUUUCACCAUGUGAUGCGUCAGUUUUCAAUUUCCAGUGAAAACUUGCUUUGAAAGUUGUCCUUAGCAUAAAAUCUUCAUGCUAGCUGGUGCGUCCUCAAACCCAUAGCAAGAAACAUUAUGGUGGUAAGGGCUGCAAGCACAUGAGGGGAGCACCUUAAGUCAAAGUACAAGAAUCUGUAUCUUGAGCAUAAUUUAAUGCCAUCUUGUCAAGCCUUGUCAGGGAAAUUCCCUUGGGUGUUCAAGUAUGAAAGGUAAAGGUAAAGGGUAACGGGACCCCUGACCAUUAGGUCCAGUCAUGACCGACUCUGGGGUUGCGGCGCUCAUCUCACUUUACUGGCCAAGGGAGCAGGCGUACAGCCUCUGGGUCAUGUGGCCAGCAUGACUAAGCCGCUUCUGGCGAACCAGAGCAGCGCAUGGAAAUGCCCUUUACCUUCCUGCUGGAGCGGUACCUAUUUAUCUACUUGCACUUUGACGUGCUUUCGAACUGCUAGGUUGGCAGGAGCAGGGACCGAGCAUCGGGAGCUCACCCCGUCACAAUGAUUCAAACUGCCGACCUUCUGAUUGGCAAGUCCUAGGCUCUGGGGUUUAACCUACAGCGCCACCCGCGUCCCUAUUAAGCAGUAUAAAAUGUUAAUGAACAUAUAGGUGGUACUGGCAAAGCCCUGGCUGUUCUCUAUCCUUCCAAAGAGGGUAAAUCUCUUCAGGUAGCAGCAGGACAGAAAUAGAGUAGCCAAUUUGCAACCUAGAGAAAAUCUCCCAUUAUUAAUCAGCCAUCCAGUGGAAAAGGAGAAAGCAGUCUCAGCUUUCCAUUUUUCAAGCCAGCCACUCUUUGCACUUGGCUGGAGCAAACAGGUCUCUGUUUUUGACCCCAAAGAUGGAAGAUGCCAUAGAUAUGGGGCCAAAGGAAUAAACUGGACUCUGUCAAAUAUUAUACACAAGGAACCCUGAUCAGCUCCCCGGACAAGAUGCUAGGCACUGGAAGUAUAUAGAGUAGGGGUGAGGAAUCUCUCUUCAGUCUGGGGGCCGCAAUCUCUUCUGGGCAAACUUAUAGAGGCAACACUAACAUAGCCUUCUCUAUCCUUUAUCAAGGCAUCAUCCAAGUUCGAGGACUGAUUCCAGCCAGGCAAAAAACACUCAAGGAAGUUGUGAAGGUAAGGGAGUAGUGUGGACUGGGGAAGAGUGCUAGGGAGGGUGACUUCAAGAGUCCUGAGGCCAGUGACAAAGGCCUGAUGUCCCACAUCCCUGAGCUAGAAAGACACUCCAUUUGUCAUCCCUGUCAUGCCAUGGAAUCAGUCACAACUGAAACAAGUGCUGCAAGCUUGCUUUCUAGGUAUACUCAGUUUAAAAGCCUACUUUACCCUUAUCCAGUCUAGAGUCCUAGCCUAGGGAAACAUAAAUGGUGAUCAUCCCCAGUAUUUUCUCCACGGUCACUGAUACUGACACACAGCACUGGGACUGAAGGAAUCCCAAGUCCAGGGAGAUUGUUGGCAAGGUUCAACAUUUAGCAGAAAGCAGGCGCUGUCUGUCUAGUAAGCAAACAAGGAUUUUCUUGCCCCUGCAAAAAACAGGACACACGCCUGGUGAACCUUAGAGAUUUCAGAAGAGCCUCGUCAGAACAAAGGCCAAAUGAAAAGGCAGACAAACACCUACUAAGGUGCCAAGACAGGAGGAGACAAAGGCUCAGAGGUAUGUGUGCUCCCUUCUUAAUCUUUGCCCCUUAAACCAGAAUAAACUGACAAAACAGGGAAGUUGAAAAGGACAAAGAAGUCAGUUCAGGCCUGAUAGUUGAAGUGAUACACACAAAAAGCACUCUUGGAUAUUUCAGGUUUUAUUAUUUAAUUUAGUUUUCUUGGAAAAAAGACAAUAAGGCAAAAAAAAAAUAAUUCCAAAAAUAGAAUUGCAGGAAUAUUCUCUCUUAACGCCUGCCAAUAUCCUAUGCAAGGAUGUGUCAGCCUCUACAAGCUGCAGAAAACAGGCUUCAGACAGGGACUGAGCAGCAAAGAGCGCAGAGACCCCACCCAAAACCCCUUUCCUUCCCACUGAGCAGCACUGUCCUUUGCUGCUGGGGAUGGCAGGGUUCACGGCCUCAUUUCUACCUGCCAGCAAGGUGAUUCCAUCCCACCUGCAAGCAUCCCAGGGAAGGAACGCCGCCACCUCUUACCCCUUCAGUGGCUAAAGUUUGGAAGUUGAAAGAAAAACACAGAAAAGAAAAAGAAAAAAUGAGGAUAGGAAACACAGAAGGAAGGCACCUCAUUGUGUGAUCCUUAGCCAAGGGCAGGGGCUGCCUUAUAGUCCACACAUACACAUACACACACACGCACCCCCCCCCCCCGAGCGUUGGCUUGGCUAGAGCAGCCUCUGUGCCCUUGUCCACUUCAACACAGCGGCAGCACCUCUGUCAACCUUAGGAUCCAGCUUUGGCAGCUGAGAGCAGAGCUGUCCCAAGGCCAGUUUGGGGAGUUCUUGCAGCCUCCUUAUUUCACAGCGGGAUCCAUGGACACCUGGCUUGUGCCUGCACAGUGAGGAGCCUGAUGCCAGUGAGCUCCAGCUCUGCAUCAGAUAGUGUUUUUUAAAAUUUUAUUUUAAAGAAGGCAAGGCAAGCAAACCAUUGUUGACUGUCACGCUUUCUGCAGAGCGUCUCCCUGGAUCCGGUGGCAGUGGAGGGGGACAGCUGGGGGCAAGUGUUACAAAAUGGGGUCUGCAGGAUAGGAGGUAUAGGAGGGGAAAAACCAGAACAAAAAUUAUAUCUCUUUUUUUCUCACUCUCUUUCUCUCUCUACAUAUAUAUAAUAUACAUAUAAACAGGUGCGCAUUAAGCCAGAGGUUGCUUUAGGCAGAGGGGAGGCUGUGUCCUGCAUCGCCGCUUUCCACCCAAGUGUAUGUGGGGAAAAUCUGAAGCCUGCUAUGGGGAAGGGAGAACAAGUAAGUUUUAUUUCCUACCAUCGUAUGAACAGCUGGUGAUGUCACAAAGGCGGGUUCCGCUGAAACCAGAGCUACCUGCACCCACCCACUGCCACCACCC
rnacentral:tRNA from 1 species